GAAAAAGGCAUUGUUUACGGAGGCUCACACAGUCUCGCACCAUUCUCCAUAGACCUCAAUUGUUGUACAGCAUUGUAAUGGGCUCCCUGAAUAUGACACGUCAGGAGCUGAAGAGGAUUCCCUGGAUAAUCAUGGCGACGGCCAAAAGGGACAGAUUCAACUAAGUAAAACAUGCGUUCCUCCAGGCAACCGCACUGUGAGCGGCAGAG